CCCUUAGAUGUCCUGGGCCGCACGCGCGCUACACUGAGUGUCUGAGAUACGAGUCUGCCUGGUCCGGCAAGGUCUAGGUAAUCGCUAAAAGACACAUCAUGCUUGGGAUAGAUUAUUGCAAAUAUUAAUCUUGAACGAGGAAUUCCUAGUAAGCGCAAGUCAACAGCUUGCGUUGAUUACGUCCCUGCCCUUUGUAUACACCGCCCGUCGCUACUACUGAUUGGAUGUUUAAGCGAGGUUCUCGAACUGCUAGCGACUUAGCUUCGGUGAGGUCGCAGUGUGGGAAGUGAACCUAGCUUUGGUGUCUAGAGGAAGUAAAAGUCGUAACA
rnacentral:rRNA from 1 species